rnacentral:rRNA from 1 species
AACGAACGCUGGCGGCAUGCCUAACACAUGCAAGUCGAAUGAGAUCCUUCGGGGUCUAGUGGCGCACGGGUGCGUAACGCGUGGGAAUCUGCCCUUAGGUUCGGAAUAACAGUUAGAAAUGACUGCUAAUACCGGAUGAUGACGUUAAGUCCAAAGAUUUAUCGCCUGAGGAUGAGCCCGCGUAGGAUUAGCUAGUUGGUGUGGUAAAGGCGCACCAAGGCGACGAUCCUUAGCUGGUCUGAGAGGAUGAUCAGCCACACUGGGACUGAGACACGGCCCAGACUCCUACGGGAGGCAGCAGUGGGGAAUAUUGGACAAUGGGCGCAAGCCUGAUCCAGCAAGGCCGCGUGAGUGAUGAAGGCCUUAGGGUUGUAAAGCUCUUUUACCCGGGAUGAUAAUGACAGUACCGGGAGAAUAAGCCCCGGCUAACUCCGUG